UGGAAACAUGAAUAGGGUGUACCCAAUGUAUUUUAACAGAAAAGAAACUGGAUAUUUCUAGGCAGAAAAGGCCAGAGACAGCUUGUUGGCCCUGAGGACAAAUGAAACAGCAGUGGUCAUGUCUAUGUAUCUGCAACAUCUCUUCUCAUCCCCAAAGAGGCUGGCCACAUCAAAGCUAAGCCUGGGAACACACCUUGCCACAUGUUCCUCCUCCCCAUCAUGCUGCUGCAGCACCACAGUUAGACCCACAGGCCAGAACCAUGGCAACAAAUCUCCCCAGUAAACUGCAGACAGGCGUCCAAGAUUCCAACAAAUCCUCUGUAGUUUAUGGUAACCCAAGCUGAUGCAGAAGAAAAUUGCAAUGGACACUUGAAAAGCCGCUACAGACUUGUUUUUGACUUACGUAAAAGCUUGUUAAUGAAACAAAGGACAAAUGUUUGCAACACCCCUCUUCCCCGGUUAAUAUCCGGAGUGAAACAAGUUUCGAAGAAACCGCCUUUAAAACACUGCUUUCUGCAGACUUUGGACAUAGUUGCAUUUGACUGGUGCUGUAAUUCACAACGUGUAGCAAAAACACCACAGUACAUCAGUCUGCCUGGUUUCUGUGGCGCAUUAAAGAGGAAGCUCAGAGAACAACUGAAAACUGUAUUUCAGCAGCACCACUAGACGAAUUACCUGAAGAAUGUAUCUGAAGGUAUCCAUUGACUGGGAAGAUGUGUUAGCCAUUCUCCUCCAGCAGUGUUCUUGGAAAUGUAAUCAUUCUACGUGAAAAGAGAGCGAGCUUUCAGCUGCACAUCAGCAGUGAGCAGUACCUGUGCCUGGCACACAGCUCCCCGCAACAGCUUCUGAAACUGACAGCACUUUCUCUCAGCACGGCAACAUAGGUUUGAACAUACAAAAGGAUUGAGACUGCCACCCUUCAACAGGCUGGAGACUCCUUAGUUCAUAAAACAAAAAAACAU